CUGUCUUUAGGAGAAAAUGUAUAGCACAUUAUUAAACUUUGUGCUUAAUUUGUCCUAAGAUGCACAGUGUAUUUUAAAAUACAUUUGUAUAAAUGUUUGAAUAUUUAGCUCAAAAUGAGCAACCUACUUUUUUGAUAUUUUUUAAAUGUUUUUUAAUCAUUCUAAUGGAUUUUUGCAUUAUUUUUAAUAUUUAUGCUUACAUAGGUUAUUAACUGUAUUCUAAAAAAGUUAGCAUGUAACAUUACAGUUCCAGUUUUCACAUUUCUACUGUUAGGCCAGGUAUUUUUCUGAUUUGUUCUUCUGUGUGUGUGUAUUUCCAUAUGCAUUCUGAAGUAGCUUGUAUGUGUGUACCAUAUACAGUAUAUAAAGACACACACAUGCACAAAUAUAAAAAUGUCACAUUUUUUUCAAGGUUUCAUCACAGUUUUUAUGGCUCCCCAUUUUGGUCUUAUUGACUUGGAGCAGUUAGUUGCUAAUGCACUAGUAAGCUAGGUCAUAGAAAUAAAUAUAUUACGUACAUAUUAUUUUUUUUCCCUUUUGAUUGUUGUCCAAGCCUGAUGUAUAUCAGCAAAUAACACUUUAUUUGCUAAAUGUAAUUCUUGCAUUGAUAAUCCAUUUAUUUAGCAAAUGCAGCUUAGUUCUUGAAACAUCCAGUACUUGUUUCUUUUUUAAAAUGUGUUUAAACGUUUUAUAACAUUUUGCUUACUUAUCUUUUUAAUGCUUGGGAUGUUCCUGUUUAAUAUUAUUUAUUAUCAGUGACGAUUCUUUUCUCUCAACAGUGGUUGUGAAUCUCAUUUGCAUUUAAAUUAUUAUUUUUUUCAUCUGUUUAUGGUUUUGUUUCCGGUAAUAUUUUUUCUUACUCUUCAUUGCCAUCACUUCAAAUGCAGCUAAUUUAUUAAUAGUUUAUAAAUAUAUAUUAAUAGUUUAUACUUUUAUGCAUCCUUUCACAUUCAAGUCUACCUUAUGUGCUGUCUACUUACAAUAUACAUAUAUUAAAAUAUGAGAGUUUUUAAUAAGAAAAUUAAAGUGAUAAUUUAGAUUUUAUUUGAAAAUAUACACUAGAGCAGUUUAUAAUAAAUACAUUAUAUUCCUUUAGUGGUGAGCAGUGUAUGAGUGAAAUUAGUUGUAAGUAUAUUUUGUUUUUGGCUGGCAAAUUCAGGACAUAGUAUAAAGAGGAAUAUCUUAAAGCUUAUGGCAUAAUGGAGGUCUUCAUUCCUGACUCCUGAAAUUUUGUCUGCCUGCCUGAUGUUUUGCCAGGUUAUGUGGUACUUUUAGACUAUUGUAGUUAUUCCCAGCAUAAAGCCCAUUUGUGUAUGUAUGCUUGCCCAGGAAUUCCCUUUUUAAUCUAAAUUAAUUAUAGCUUUCUCAACAGAAUGUUUAUACUACAGUCUGACCACUGCAUAUGUCAAGAUGAGCGGUCCUGUUUAUUCUUAAGCUAAUUAUGAUUAUUCUUAACACCAUUGGUGCUUUGUAAAAUGGAUGUUGGGAACUUAAGACUGUUUUUAGCAGUCUUUAUGUCUAAAUAUUUUUGGAUAGCUGCAAUAUUUCUUUUUUCUCCCCAGUUAGUUUCAGAAAUUGUAAAACAGUUCUGCAAUGUUUGUCAGUCUUGAGACACACUAAUAUGUAUGUAGAAGCAUCUGGUGUAUUUCAUAAUGACAUCCACAUUAAAUGAAGCGUUUUAUUUCAUAACUUUUACAAUGUUUUAACUCUCUUUACUUUUGAAUAGUUAUUUAUGCAUAUUUUAUUUUCAGAAUGCUUGAUGAACAUAACUGUGCCAGAUUAUAACUGUAGAACACAACAAAGUUGAUUACCUCCAUAUUGGAAGUUUAGAAGAGGAACUAGUCAUUUGAUGGUCACUUUUAACGUCACCAGCAGACUAGUGUUUUUUUUGUUUUGUUUUUUCUCUCACUAUAGUUUGUUCUUGAAUUAAUCUAUUUAAUAUAAUGCAAUAAAUGUGUGCUUGCUUGGAUUAAGUAAAACAACAAUACAGCAAACAGAUAUAAGAUAUAUUCCGUUUUAAUUGAUUUUCCCAGAAUUGUUCAUAUUAUAUAGAUUUUAAACCUUUUCCAAUUAUUAAUCAAUCUAUGACUUUAAUCCAACCAAGGUCAAAAGUGCAAUGGGUCAAUGCAUUUUAUGUUUUUAUUGUCAUUUUUAUUUUAAUAGACAACAGCUUAUCCUUGUAGGAUGAGAUGUAGCUGGGGAAUGGUAAGUUUAGGUUAAGGGUGUUAAUUUGUUGUCUAAAGAUUCAACACUAAAAAUUAUUAAGAAUAACGUUAAGACUGUCUUGUAUUUUAACAAAUUGAUUUUUCUGUGGGUUCAAAUUUCAUGUUAACUUGCAAUAUGAGAAAUGAUGAGAAAUAACAGGUCACCGCAAUAUUGGCUAAACACCUUUCAUUAAAGAACAAAAUGUAUGUGCAUUAGUGAAAGCCCCUUUUAGCAGCCAUAAUUGUUUCAUUUAAAACGUCUUUGCAAUUUAUUAUUAAAUAGCUUAGCUACAUUCCAUUCUCAGUGUACUUUAGUGGUAUUAUUGAAAAAGUUCUGUUUUUUUCUUUUUAUCUCAGAAACUCAAGUUAAACACUGCCUUGAAUUAUGUAUUACUAAAUUGUUACUAUCAAAUAGGUAAUAUAUUGAAAAUGGGAAAUAAAUUACAGUCAUUAUCCAGAAA